UUAAAAGUAAUUCAAUUUUUCUUUUAGCCGGGGGCUCUGGGAUUCAUCGACCGUUGUCUAAAAAAGGAGACUCUGGUGGACAGUACAAGGCAAAGAGUGGUAAAGGUGACAUAAAGAAGAAAGGUCAACAUGAUCCAUAUGCCUACAUCCCACUGAAAAAGGCUCAGCUGAACCGAAGGAAAAAAGCAAAACUGCAAGGUCAGUUCAAAGGGUUGGUUAGAGGAGCACAAAAAGGGGCUCGGACUGGAAGGAAAAUGCAGAGGAAGAGGAGGAAUGUGUAACUUCGGUCCAAGACAAAAUACAGGCCUUCGUAAUACCUUUUUAUGGACUCCACUCGGGAGCUUGGUUCAGUUAAAAUAGCAUGUUUCAAAGGGGCAACACUUUGUUCUAACAGACUGAUGUGAUGUACAGAUGCUAAGUGCUAGGCUGGAUUUCUGUGUUGGUCCUGGAUAGACGCACAGCAUGGCUUUUCAAUGUUUUGGUUGCGUUACACUAAGGGAUUGAACUGUUUGUUUUUCAUCUGAGAAUAAGCAAAAUCCAUAGACAUAUAUACAACUAAAAUAUUCCAGUUCUUCAGUGACAUUUUGUAUAAACAUAAUGUUUCACUUUCUGUCCUGUGGUGGUUGGUGGACCUUAGAAGUGUGUAUUUAUUUACCAUGAAAAAGCGUACUUACUUGUAAGAACCAGUUAAGCUUUAUUCUGCUAUGGACUAGAAAUUGAAUACAGGGUAACCUAUAAUGUUGUGCUGUGUGUGUCAAAUAUUGCCUUUUGUUUACUGCAAAUAAAAGAGAGUUGCAUCUUUUAAUGUUCAAAAAA